rnacentral:rRNA from 1 species
AGUGAACGCUGGCGGUAGGCCUAACACAUGCAAGUCGAACGGCAGCACAGUAAGAGCUUGCUCUUACGGGUGGCGAGUGGCGGACGGGUGAGGAAUACAUCGGAAUCUACUUUUUCGUGGGGGAUAACGUAGGGAAACUUACGCUAAUACCGCAUACGACCUACGGGGGAAAGCAGGGGAUCUUCGGACCUUGCGCGAUUGAAUGAGCCGAUGUCGGAUUAGCUAGUUGGCGGGGUAAAGGCCCACCAAGGCGACGAUCCGUAGCUGGUCUGAGAGGAUGAUCAGCCACACUGGAACUGCGACACGGUCCAGACUCCUACGGGAGGCAGCAGUGGGGAAUAUUGGACAAUGGGCGCAAGCCUGAUCCAGCCAUACCGCGUGGGUGAAGAAGGCCUUCGGGUUGUAAAGCCCUUUUGUUGGGAAAGAAAAGCAGCAGGUUAAUACCCCGCUGUUCUGACGGUACCCAAAGAAUAAGCACCGGCUAACUUCGUG